AAUGAACGCUGGCGGCAGGCCUAACACGUGCAAGUCGAGCGAAGCCUUCGGGCUUAGCGGCGGACGGGUGAGUAACGCGUGGGAACGUGCCCUUUGGUACGGAAUAGCCCCGGGAAACUGGGAGUAAUACCGUAUGUGGUCGAGAGACGAAAGAUUUAUCGCCAAAGGAUCGGCCCGCGUUGGAUUAGGUAGUUGGUGGGGUAAUGGCCUACCAAGCCGACGAUCCAUAGCUGGUUUGAGAGGAUGAUCAGCCACACUGGGACUGAGACACGGCCCAGACUCCUACGGGAGGCAGCAGUGGGGAAUCUUAGACAAUGGGGGAAACCCUGAUCAAGCCAUGCCGCGUGAUCGAUGAAGGACUUAGGGUUGUAAAGAUCUUUCAGUGGGGAAGAUAAUGACUGUACCCACAGAAGGAGCCCCGGCUAACUCCGUGCCAGCCGCCGCCGUAACAC
rnacentral:rRNA from 1 species